rnacentral:rRNA from 1 species
UGGGGAUGAAGGUCUUCGGAUUGUAAACCCUGUUGGGAGGGGCGAAGGCUUUCGGCGAACAGUCCGGAAGCUUGACGGUACCUCCAGAGAAAGCCCCGGCUAACUCUGUGCCAGCAGCCGCGGUAAUACAGAGGGGGCGAGCGUUAUUCGGAAUUAUUGGGCGUAAAGGGCGCGUAGGCGGCCAAGCAAGUCUUGGGUGAAAUCCCUCGGCUCAACCGAGGAACUGCCUUGGAAACUGCUUGGCUUGAGGCCGGGAGAGGGUGGUGGAAUUCCCAGUGUAGCGGUGAAAUGCGUAGAUAUUGGGAGGAACACCAGUGGCGAAGGCGGCCACCUGGACCGGUCCUGACGCUGAGGCGCGAAAGCGUGGGGAGCAAACAGGAUUAGAUACCCUGGUAGUCCACGCCCUAAACGAUGGGUACUCGGUGUCGCGGGUAUCGACCCCUGCGGUGCCUUAGCUAACGCGUUAAGUACCCCGCCUGGGGAGUACGGUCGCAAGGCUG